rnacentral:tRNA from 3 species
GCGGAUGUGGUGGAAUUGGCAGACACGCCAGAUUUAGGUUCUGGUGUCUACGACAUGCAGGUUCAAGUCCUGUCAUCCGCACCA